UUUCCUUUCCCGCGCAAAUCACAUGAUGGCUUUUCGUCCGGAGGGGGCGUGACGGUCAGUGGCUUUUCGUCUGGAGGGGGCGUG
rnacentral:SRP_RNA from 1 species